rnacentral:rRNA from 1 species
GACGAACGCUGGCGGCGUGCUUAACACAUGCAAGUCGAACGGUGAAGCGCUUUCCUUUUUGGUUGGUGUGGAUGAGUGGCGAACGGGUGAGUAACACGUGAGUAACCUGCCCCCUUCUUCUGGAUAACCGCAUGAAGGUGUGGCUAAUACGGGAUAUUCUGCGCCUGCUGCAUGGUGGGUGUGGGAAAGAUUGUGCCUUUGGGUGUUUUCGGUGGGGGAUGGGCUCGCGGCCUAUCAGCUUGUUGGUGGGGUGAUGGCCUACCAAGGCGGUGACGGGUAGCCGGCCUGAGAGGGUGGACGGUCACACUGGGACUGAGACACGGCCCAGACUCCUACGGGAGGCAGCAGUGGGGAAUAUUGCACAAUGGGCGCAAGCCUGAUGCAGCGACGCCGCGUGAGGGAUGGAGGCCUUCGGGUUGUGAACCUCUUUCGCCAGUGAAGCAGGCCUGCUCCUUGUGGGUGGGUUGACGGUAGCUGGAUAAGAAGCGCCGGCUAACUACGUG